GGCUGGAUUGUGAAUUCAUGCAUAGAACCAGACCUGCUCUACACCUAAUGCCAAAAAAAGCCUGCAAAGUUCUCCUCUGCUACAAAGCAACACAAAAAGCCCUCCUAGUCCAUCACCUGUUGCUCAAGGCAUGUAAGAGCAGGAACACACUCAGCCCCUAGAGCCCACACUGAGAAGCUGAGCACUGAGAAGGGACCAGGAUAUGAGGAACCACAUUAGUGGUCUUUGGCCACUAUUUCUGCUGAGCAAAAAUCAGAAGGCUUGUUCCUUUGUGGUAGAAAUCAGAAAACAAGGAGAAGAAGCACUGCUUUAAUUACAUUUAGAGGUUUCUCCUAGGAGAGAGAGGAGAGGCUUUACAAGGACUACCUCAAGAAGAGGACAUAGAAUGGAGGGAAGGCCUUAGAAAGAAUAAACAACCCUCAUGCUGCCGCUUUUGCAAGGAAUAAAUGUCCAAGUUUCUUAAUAUCCAGCCACAAAUCUGUGGAGUCUUGACAGCCAAGAAGCACAGGAACCUGGACACCUUGUUGUGAGAGACUAGAGGAGAUUGCUGGCUCAACACUUUUCAGGGGCUUGUAUGUGGGGAAGGGGGCAGAUCAAGGCUUGCUCUGGUGAGGCGAUGCCCCACUUGGCACGCCCCACACCCCCAGGCCUGUAUCCCAGCCCAGCAGUGGCCACUGAUCCCAGCACACCAGAGGCAAUGCUCCAUACCUGUGUCUGGAGCCCCUAACCCAGCUCCUAAAUGGCCAGGUGAGUGGGAGCCCCAUGUGGGGGAAGGCCCCAGGAGAGCCAAAGGCUAUUUACCUUGGGAUAUGUGGCCACCACAUGUCUUGACCCUACCUCUUCUUGGAAUUUCUAUCAGCUGAACACCACUGGAACCAGGAGUGAUAGCUAUGUUGGUUCUUUUCUGUCAUUCUCUUUUUCUCUUUCUUCUCCCUUUUCCCUCCUUUCAGAUUUUUGAAAAUAACUUAAAAUGUAACAGGUUUAGUAAUCUACAUGUAAAUUAACUUACUAAGAUUACAAGUUGAAUGGGCUAAAUUAAUGCUUCAUAGAAUGUUUUAUGUUGAUUGAAUCCUGCUCUAAAUUAUUUUUGCCUUUCAAGUUCUCUGAUUUUCAAAUGUUGCCAGUGAAGGGUUUUGAUGUUGUUCCGAACUCUUGAGAACAUCUCGUCAGUAUUUCUCCUGCUUUUCUAACUUAGAGUACAUGAACAAGUUUAAAUUCUUUUAAAGUAUCUCAUACAGCAACGUUUUUGGAGGCUUGCAUUUUAAUUGGCACAGCAAGCAGGGUACUCUUGAGGUGAUAUGGGCCUUUUAUACAGCAUUAACUGUUCAUGACAUAAUAAAGGAGAAAUAAAUUUUCAGUCAAA